rnacentral:lncRNA from 1 species
UAUCAAGUUUUAUGCUUUUCGAAUGAGAUUUUAAUGAAUGUAAAUGACAUAAAGGGGCCUCAAAGAUUACUGUCACAAGAGAAAUGAUUGGAUAUAGAUUU